UCGAGCUCCCAGGUUAAGCUUGAUUUAAAUUUGCAUACAUUUUCAUACAUUUAGGAGAAAUAAAAGAAGGCUGCAGCCACCAGAAAGUCAUUAAAGAGCGUCGAGCCGAGGAGCUGCUAUGGCAUGAGGAGACGGAGGCAGACAGAGAGAGACAGACAGAGAGAGGAGGCCGGAGCAGCAGGAGGAAACACAGUGAGUGGAUGUAUAUGAAGCUAAAGCUCAUCCCACGAGAGCACACACACAAGUGUGCUGUUUGCAGAAGAGGCUAGUAUAUUGUCCAUGGGUCAGUGAAGGAGCCAUGGUUAGUAGAAAUCUACAUAACAUUACCAUCUGUUAAACUUCAAACUGCCCAGUAACACACACGCACACACACGCACACACACGCACACAGUAUUCUAAACACAGAGUCUAUGGAAAUGUAGUGUUAAGUUGCUCUUCAGGUCCUAUAUUUCACCUCCUCCUCCCACUGAGAGCAGAGAAGAGCUCAGAGUUGAGGCCUCUCCUGGCACCAACUGAUGCCAAUGAGGCAGAGAGAGAGAGAGUUGUUACUCAAACUUGCUGAAAAUCUCUCACUUUCCUCUCUCUCUGCAACUACAGCUCAAACACCAAACGCAGCCGCUGUUUAAUGAACAACACGGGAGAAUUCCAUGUAGAAAAUCAGCAAGUUUUCUGCCACGGCUAAACAGCUAACCAGCACAAGUUCCCCUGUGGCUGGCACACACACACACACACACACACACACACACACACAGGUCUCUCUGAAGGAGCAGGCGGAGCCGGCAGUCGCACAUCUGCAUUUCAAACACAGACUCUCUGGGAUUCAUUAUUAAUUAGCCUGCUGAGCCCUGGAGGACUAGUGAUGUUGCCAUCACACACACACCUGCACACACACACACGCAUGCACACACACACACCUCAUGACCUCUGUGCCCCCUCUGCUCUACAGUUAAAGUCCUCACCAGAAUACUGAGCUGUACAGCUUCUCCUCCUCCAAUCAUAUCUCUUCUUCCGAUUUCCUGGCUUAAUGUACGUUAAAGGAUGAUGAAUUACAGGAGUCCAUGGAUUUAUUAAUCUGAGCUUGGUGUAACUGUGUUUAAAGCACACAGCAGAGCACUGAAUAACAUAUGCAAGUAUAUGAGAGAGAGCGAGAGAGCAAGAGAAGAGCUGUACUUGUUCUUAUGUCACAUUAAUAAACAUUGCAAAACUCUC